AAAAAAGACAAACAUUGGUUUCCGUGCCCAACGAUUGACCGUCCGUCUUAUUUGAAAAAAUUAUGAAUAAAAUUAAAAAGACAAGUCACGUAUAAAAUAUUAAUCAUGUUUUAUUAUCUAACAACAAUGAAAAUACGAAUUAUAAAAAAAAUUCAUAUAAGACGGAUAGUUAAAGGUGGACACGGAAACCCAGAGUUUGUCUUUUU
rnacentral:pre_miRNA from 1 species